rnacentral:rRNA from 1 species
CCUACGGGAGGCAGCAGUGGGGGAUAUUGCACAAUGGGGGAAACCCUGAUGCAGCGACGCCGCGUGGGUGAAGAAGCGCCUCGGCGCGUAAAGCCCUGUCAGCAGGGAAGAAAAUGACGGUACCUGAAGAAGAAGCCCCGGCUAACCACGGACCAGCAGCCGCGGUAAUACGUAGGGGGCAAGCGUUAUCCGGAUUUACUGGGUGUAAAGGGGGCGCAGACGGGGAUGCAAGCCAGGAGUGAAAGCCCGGGGCCCAACCCCGGGACUGGUCUUGGAACUGGGUGGCUAGAGUGCAGGAGGGGCAGGCGGAAUGCCUGGUGUAGCGGUGAAAUGCGUAGAUAUCAGGAGGAACACCGGUGGCGAAGGCGGCCUGCUGGACUGCAACUGACGUUGAGGCCCGAAAGCGUGGGGAGCAAACAGGAUUAGAUACCCGAGUAGUC